GUGGAUUAGAUACCCUGGUAGUCCACGCCCUAAACGAUGCGAACUGGAUGUUGGGUGCAAUUUGGCACGCAGUAUCGAAGCUAACGCGUUAAGUUCGCCGCCUGGGGAGUACGGUCGCAAGACUGAAACUCAAAGGAAUUGACGGGGGCCCGCACAAGCGGUGGAGUAUGUGGUUUAAUUCGAUGCAACGCGAAGAACCUUACCUGGCCUUGACAUGCACGGAACUUUCCAGAGAUGGAUUGGUGCCUUCGGGAACCGUGACACAGGUGCUGCACGGUCGUCGCCAGCU
rnacentral:rRNA from 1 species